rnacentral:rRNA from 1 species
UGGCAUUGCCGGGUAGCUAUGUGCGGACAGGAUAACCGCUGAAAGCAUCUAAGCGGGAAGCCCCCUUCAAGAUGAGACUUCCCUGAGGCCUCGAGCCUCCUGAAGGGCCCAGCGAGACCAGCUGGUUGAUAGGUCGGAUGUGGAAGCGCUGCAAGGCGUUGAGCUAACCGAUACUAAUGGCCCGUGAGGCUUGACCAU